UGAAGGGCGCACUUGUUGAGUUUGAGAACUUUCACAGGCUUGAACUUGGACUGGACGCAGCGGAGAUAUCUAUGCUAUUAGGGGAACAAACAGAUUUUUUCUUUCUUUUAACUUCUACAUCUAUUUUUGUCUAUGUUGUUGAGCUUGGCGAGUUUUCGGAUUAUUGACUUUUAUGACUGCUGAGUUAAACAUCUUUCGCGUGUGACUUUUUGGGUCUUUAUAGCAUUGUAACUCUUUUUAUGUUGUCUGUAAAGGGCAUUUAAAGGUUGCAUUCAGUGGAUACUAAGCAAGCGCCAGAUUAAUCGUUUCUAAAGGGAAUGUGAAAGACAAAAGUGGACUGUUUGGGAUAAUAUGACGUUGGCUGAUGUAAAUGGAUUAUACUUCAGCACUCUCUCCUGACGGACGUGUAAUGCCAUUAUGGAAGUAUUUACGUGCGCCUAUAUUGUUCGCGAUUCAUACGUUUUCAAAAAGGACGAUGGAUAAAGAACUGUAUAGAAGGAGGAUAGUGCUGUUUUGCUAAGAUCAUUGGUUCAUGAACCUGGGAGAGAUCAAGGCCGGCUGUGCACGAAAGCUUUUGUUAAAAAGUGGGGCAAUUCCAACCAUUGCAACUUCGAAAGGACAGUCUGGCGUUUCAGAUUCGCAGCCUGGAACAUUCAUAUGCUCGUUGUUGGGCAGCAAGUGAGUGAGGGAGGACCCGUGUAGAUCGCUCCUACUGGGCUUUGAGCUCAUAUAUUUUCCUUGUCCUUACCUCGGACUGCU